GCCGGAGUGGCGGAAUGGUAGACGCGCACGACUCAAAAUCGUGUAUCGAGAGGUGUGAGGGUUCAAGUCCCUCCUCCGGCACCA
rnacentral:tRNA from 1 species